rnacentral:rRNA from 1 species
AGUGAACGCUGGCGGUAGGCCUAACACAUGCAAGUCGAACGGCAGCACAGUAAGAGCUUGCUCUUACGGGUGGCGAGUGGCGGACGGGUGAGGCAUACAUCGGAAUCUACUUUUUCGUGGGGGAUAACGUAGGGAAACUUACGCUAAUACCGCAUACGACCUACGGGUGAAAGCAGGGGAUCUUCGGACCUUGCGCGAUUGAAUGAGCCGAUGUCGGAUUAGCUAGUUGGCGGGGUAAAGGCCCACCAAGGCGACGAUCCGUAGCUGGUCUGAGAGGAUGAUCAGCCACACGGGAACUGAGACACGGUCCAGACUCCUACGGGAGGCAGCAGUGGGUAAUAUUGGACAAGGGGCGCAAGCCUGAGCCAGCCAUACCGCGUGGGUGAAGAAGGCCUUCGGGUUGUAAAGCCCUUUUGUGGGGAAAGAAAAUCAGCAGGUUAAUACCCCGCUGUUCUGACGGAACCCAAAGAAUAAGCACCGGCGAACUGCGU